rnacentral:rRNA from 1 species
ACAACUUUCAGCAACGGAUCUCUUGGCUCUCGCAUCGAUGAAGAACGCAGCGAAAUGCGAUAAGUAAUGUGAAUUGCAGAAUUCAGUGAAUCAUCGAAUCUUUGAACGCACCUUGCGCUCCUGGGUAUUCCUAGGAGCAUGCCUGUUUGAGUGUCAUGGAAU